rnacentral:rRNA from 1 species
GAUGAACGCUGGCGGCAUGCUUUACACAUGCAAGUCGAACGGCAGCACGGACUUCGGUCUGGUGGCGAGUGGCGAACGGGUGAGUAAUACAUCGGAACGUACCCAGUAAUGGGGGAUAACUAGUCGAAAGAUUAGCUAAUACCGCAUACGCCCUACGGGGGAAAGAGGGGGAUCGCAAGACCUCUUGUUAUUGGAGCGGCCGAUGGCUGAUUAGCUAGUUGGUGGGGUAAAGGCCAACCAAGGCGACGAUCAGUAGCGGGUCUUAGAGGACGAUCCGCCACACUGAAACUGAGACACGGUCCAGACUCCUACGGGAGGCAGCAGUGGGGAAUCUUGGACAAUGGGCGAAAGCCUGAUCCAGCAAUGCCGCGUGCGUGAAGAAGGCCUUCGGGUUGUAAAGCGCUUUUGUCUGGGAGCAAAUCCUUGUGGCUAAUACCCACCGGGGAUGAGAGUACCAGAAGAAUAAGGACCGGCUAACUACGUGCCAGCCGCCGCCGUAA